rnacentral:tRNA from 1 species
GGCGGCGAGGGCCUCGCAGGCGAAGCCGCAGGCCUGAUAGGCCUGCCCGCGGAAGCUCGGCCCCAUGCCGGGCGCCGUCC